UUGCGGGGUUACCUUAACCCCCCGUAAAAUUAUAUAAAAUGCAGGGGUUAAAAAGCUGCCGCUAAAAUUUAUACAAUUGCGGGGAUUUUAAACCCUCGCUAUUAAGUGUGGGGUUGUAAACCCCAGCUAUCAGUUAAAAAAAAUAGGAACAUCAAAAAAUAUAAAUUUGCGGGGGCUUUAAACCCCCGCUAUAAUAAAAAAAAAUAGCGCUGGAACAUUUUAUUUUCCCUCUUUUUUUUAAUUGGGCAAAAUUAUUUUCCCUCUCACUUUACCAAAUCUAUAGGCCCCCAAGUCUCACUCUCUUAUUUCUCCCAACUUUCUUCUCCAUUCGGCCUCCCAAGUUGAAGCUCUCAUAACUUGACCCUUCACAGAUUGGUGUAAUUCUUCAUGACUCACACGAAAUUGCUCAAGUUAAGAGUGUCACUGGUAGCAAGAUCUUGCUUAUCCUCAAGGACCAUGGGCUCGCACCUGAGAUUCCAGAGGAUCUAUACCACCUGAUUAAGAAAGCUGUUACCAUUAGAAAGAAUUUGGAGAGGAGCAGGAAGGACAAGGAUUCCAAGUUCCGAUUGAUUUUGGUCGAGAGCAGGAUCCAUCGCCUUGCUCGCUAUUACAAGAAAACU